AUUGAACGCUGGCGGCAUGCCUCACACAUGCAAGUCGAACGGUAACAGGGAGCUUGCUCCGCUGACGAGUGGCGAACGGGUGAGUAAUGUAUCGGAACGUACCUUUCAGUGGGGGAUAACGUAGCGAAAGUUACGCUAAUACCGCAUAUUCUCUGAGGAGGAAAGCAGGGGACCUUCGGGCCUUGCGCUGAUUGAGCGGCUGAUAUCAGAUUAGCUAGUUGGUGAGGUAAAGGCUCACCAAGGCGACGAUCUGUAGCGGGUCUGAGAGGAUGAUCCGCCACACUGGAACUGAGACACGGUCCAGACUCCUACGGGAGGCAGCAGUGGGGAAUUUUGGACAAUGGGGGCAACCCUGAUCCAGCCAUGCCGCGUGAGUGAAGAAGGCCUUCGGGUUGUAAAGCUCUUUCGGCCGGGAAAAAAUCGCAUGGGCUAAUACCCUGUGUGGAUGAUGGUACCGGAAUAAGAAGCACCGGCUAACUACGUGCCAGCCGCCGCGGUAA
rnacentral:rRNA from 1 species